GGGGAUCUAGCUCAGUGGUAGAGCACUUGCCUAGCAAGCACAAGGCCCUGGGUUCGGUCCCCAGCUCUG
rnacentral:tRNA from 1 species